rnacentral:sRNA from 1 species
AUUACAGUGUAUUUUGGUUAUUGAGUGAAUUUAUAUAAAUCAACAAACUAGUUCUUAAUUACUCUCAUAAAAUGGUUGAGUAGGUAUCACCAUAUAAAUUAAUAUAAUGUUCCUGUGAAUUUUUUCAAAUAUAUUUGGAUAUAAGGCAAAUACCUUCAAAUAAUGACACUCAUUCCGGUUUUGUUGUAUUGAUUUUGUUAUUUUCUAGGUUCCAUCUGUCUUGCUUGCUCCAAGUCAUCUAAUGGCUCUUCUGACGCUUGGAAUUAAUUCUGCCAUGGUCCUAGAUUGUGGAUAUAGGGAAAGCCUGGUGUUACCCAUAUGUGAAGGAAUCCCAGUUCUAAAUUGUUGGGGAGCACUACCCCUAGGAGGAAAAGCUCUUCACAAAGAGUUGGAAACUCAACUAUUGGAACAAUGUACUGUUGACACAAGUGUUGCUAAAGAAGAGAGCCUUCCCUCAGUGAUGGGUUCAGUUCCGGAAGGUGUCUUAGAGGACAUUAAAGCGCGUACUUGCUUUGUAAGUGAUCUGAAGCGAGGACUAAAAAUCCAAGCAGCAAAAUUUAAUAUUGAUGGGAAUAAUGAGCGUCCCUCCCCACCCCCAAAUGUUGACUAUCCAUUAGAUGGAGAG